CUGUAUGGGGCUGAAGGGCUUUCUUUCAGUCUCUCCUCAAGCUCAGUGAACAUCACAGCAACAUAUUCCCUUAAAAUCCUGAAAAGGUGCCGCACUUGAGAGGCAGUGUAGAGUGUGAACCUUGGAACCAGACCGCGUGGGAUUAGGUGACAGGCACUUAGCUUCCGCGGGAGCUGGAGCAAGACAUUUAACCCCUCCAGCCUCAGUGUUCUUAUCUGUCAAGUGGAGGUCAUAGUUGUGCUGACCCUGAAGGUGAAGAUUAAAUCAGCUAACAUACGUAGCACAUCCCCUAUAGUUCCUAGGGCAGGAUGCUGCUCUAAACUAUUGACACGGACUAUUUUCUGGAAUCUUCACACCUGUCUGGUGAGGUUUGUUCUACUUUUGUCAUCUCACGAUCCCAGCCGAGGAUGCUGCGGUUCAGGGGAGUGGAGUAAUGUUCCUAAGACACAGCUGGCCAGGGGCAGAGUAUGGAUUUGAACCAGACAGCCCUCCUGCAGGCAGCGUAGGCCAGAAGUGAAGAACUUGGAGAACAAACAGACCUGGGUCCAAAUCCUGGUUGGAUCUGCUAUGAAGACCUUGGGGCCAUCCCACAUCACCACCUCUACUCAACCCCGACUCUCCAGACUGGAUCUACUUUUAUGACGUACGGGCUAAAUUGGUGAAAAAGCAAGCAACUGUACAAUCUUCACUCAACCAACACUUGCCAAGGCUGAGAUAAAGGAGGUUUGUAUUUCCUAUGCAGCAUGAUUAGGAAGAAGGAGGAGUGGCGGGUGGAGGCUGUGAUGAGCUACCGAAAUCAUCCUUAAGGAGAGAGGCAUUUAGGCCCCCAGCUGCUGGGAGAGCUGCCUGCUGACAGCCCUCAGUUGUCAGCACCCAAGGGGAUUGCCUUGGUGGAAGAGAGCUGCCUCCUUGCCACUGUCACGCCCCCUUCCGUGGCGGGCUGCAUCUAAUGACUGAUUGACAAGAGGGUGUGGAGUCCCGAGCCUCUCAGCCUCAACUUGGAUGACUCAGAAAGAUAUUCCCAGCAAAGAAUUAAUUCCCUGUCGAGUGGGCUGAGACCUUCCUCAUGACUACAUUGUAGCUCAGUGUCUCCCUUUGCCCAAUUUGACUUCCUUCCCUUCCCUUCUCCAGAUGUUGAUCCCUUGAGAACUCCCUAGUAAACCUCCUG